AUUGAACGCUGGCGGCAUGCUUUACACAUGCAAGUCGAACGGUAACAGGCCGCAAGGUGCUGACGAGUGGCGAACGGGUGAGUAAUGCAUCGGAACGUGCCCAGUCGUGGGGGAUAACGCAGCGAAAGCUGCGCUAAUACCGCAUACGAUCUAUGGAUGAAAGCGGGGGACGGUAAGGCCGCGCGCGAUGGGAGCGGCCGAUGUCAGAUUAGGUAGUUGGUGAGGUAAAGGCUCACCAAGCCAACGAUCUGUAGCUGGUCUGAGAGGACGACCAGCCACACUGGGACUGAGACACGGCCCAGACUCCUACGGGAGGCAGCAGUGGGGAAUUUUGGACAAUGGGCGCAAGCCUGAUCCAGCAAUGCCGCGUGCAGGAAGAAGGCCUUCGGGUUGUAAACUGCUUUUGUACGGAACGAAACGGUCCGGGUUAAUACCCUGGGCUAAUGACGGUACCGUAAGAAUAAGCACCGGCUAACUACGUGCCAGCAGCCGCAGUAACAC
rnacentral:rRNA from 1 species